UCUAUCCCAUCUAAUUAUAUUGUAUUUAGUUUUUGCGAUUCUUUGAUUGUUUGAAUUUGAUUGGUUUAUUGUUAAUAUGAAUGUGAAGUAAGAUGGUGUGUGGAUGCUCGAUUGUGUUCAUAUUAGGCAGUGUGUUUAUAAAAUGUUCAUAGCUCGCUAUAUAGCUUAAAGAACUUUUAAAGUAUGAGUCUUCGAAUGGAAUUUGAUGUUUUGUUCUUCUAGCCCUAAAUAUUAACAGAAGUAAAGCAGUUCUUGGAAUGUUCAAUUUUAUCUAUACGUGAUGGUGUGUUUGUAAGAGUCGUUGUAAUAUUUAAACCAAUUUGUAAUAGACUUUAGGAGGCUCCAAGCCUUCUAAUGUAUAUAGCAGAUUAUUUAAGGUCAUUGCGACGUUGGUUUGGAUACUUUGAACAUGGUGAUAAAUUCUUAAUUUUCCUAUGCCUGUCCAAGCGGGAAGGCUCCAAAUAUUUGAAACUCUGGGCAUGUUCAACCGUUUACCACAGAAGCAUUGAUUUUUUGAAAUAUACCUUGAACCUGGUAGCAGUCCUUUUAUAUGCUUUACUAGUUGUACAAUUGAAUGGAAAUUUUCAACUUCCCAUUUGGCAUAUAAAAAGCUGAUUUUAGAGAUUUUGAAGUAAAACUAGCUAUCUUGCUUCUAGGUUAGCUUGCUUAUUCUCAUAAUAUGCAUAUGUAAGUAGUAAUUCAAGCAUAAAGGUGUUUAAAUGAGUAUAAAGUUUUCAUCGCUAUAUUAACUUAGUUUAAGAAUUAGUGUCUAUCUUUUCUGUUUAUCACCUAAAACCUAAACAUUUGCUUGUGUACUCUACAUGACUAGCCAAGAAGCUUUUUGAAGCAUCGUGUUUAAAAAAAAUAGUUUUCAGAUUCGUUAAAGCUCCUCACAAUAAUAAAUUUGCUAAGUUGUUUUGAUCUUAUUUCCUGUACUUACAAGGAUUCCUUCCCUUCUGAAUUUCACUAACAGAAUAGCUUUGAUCAUCCAUUGUCGAUGAAAUAUAAGCUACUUAUUUGGUCAUAAAGAAGAACAGAUUAUGUCUUUAAGCUUUCGUAUGCUUCAGUUUUACCUAUGAUGCACUAUGUUAAUUCGGGAAUCAUGUUGAAAUGUAUUUUUCCUUAAAACUGCUUUUACUGAAAUUUGAGGCCGAUGGGAGUUUAUUUACUAAUAUAGUUGACAUCCUUCUUUUGUUUUUGUUUGCAAGCUACAACUUGUUAAAAGAAGCUAUUUUCAGUCGCUACAUAGAUCACUUUGGAUAAUUUGAACUUGUCAGUUAGACGGAGCAGGAUUUCAACAAAGGGGAUUCAAUAUUUGAAGAAAACUUAGUCGAAGGAGGUUCAACACCUACUAUAGAUACAUAAAAAUUAAUUUUAAUCAUGUAUAAAUAAUAUAUUUUCCGUCAAAGAAGGAGAUUUGUACGAACCCCCCACAAAAAGGCAGGCUCCGCCCCUGGUUAACUGUAUAUUCUUGAGUUCACUAUUUAGUUUGGUUUCAUGAUAUGAAUUUGGAAGCAGAAACUUAAAUCUCAAUGUGUUUGAAUUAGUGUGUUCUGCACUA